rnacentral:lncRNA from 1 species
AAUUUUUAUGAGGAGAGAAAAUACAGGUUUCAUCUUGGGCAGAGUUUGUAAAUCAAUUAAGGUAAGAUCCAAAAAUAAGUAUGAGGAUUUUUAUUCUCUGCUGUCUUUUUUCAUAGAUGUUGAAGAUUUUCCUAGACAUUUAUAUUUUUAAAUCCUAUUAAAACAAUGAGGUUUGGCAAUUAGUUCUGUCCAGGAUUAAUUUCAUGCAGGAAUAUACAUCUGUAGGUUUAAUUUUAUGGAUAUAUACAUACACACAUACCUAGUUUAGUGGUUCCUUUGUAAUUAAAUAGAUUAUGUAGGCAAUAUGAGGACUUGUGAAUACGUCUCCAGUUGUUACCAUGGAAACAGAAUUUUUAGAGUUGCUCUGUAGAGUGGUGUGAUGCUGAUUAAAGAGUUUAAGCACUUCAUUUUAAAAUUAGUUGAAAGAGUCAGCCAGGAAGAAGCUUCAUCUUGCUGGGUGGGUGGGGCCACCCAUGCCAGGCUGCCACAGCCAUGACUCUACUUUUCAAGCUGUUUGAUCUAAGGAGGUCAGGAGGUCUCCCUAACUCGCAUUUCAUCAACCUCAACAGCACAUGGUUUCAAAUAUCAAGGGAAAAAUUGUCUGAUGGCCAGUUGUGUGGCAAAACUGCUUGUGGCGAAAGUUCUUAUGGAAAAAAUACCUUGACUAAAACAACAAUGACCGUUACGUUGUUACGAAAUGCUUUGAAAAUUGGCUCCACUUUUCACUCAAGAUGGAGUCUUUCCUGGGAAGACACAAAUAAGCCCUUAAAGAUAAAGUGAACAUUUCAUUUAGUGCCUGUACCACUUUUUUUAGCAGUGUUCCAGAAUUUAUGUUAUAACUUCAAUAUAUUACAAGCUGUGUAUCAACUUGGCAUCUUAGUCUCUGUGAAUUUUGUUUAAAUUAUGUGAAAAAUGCAAUUUGACCCCAAGGAAAGAUUGAAUAUAUACUACUUCUGUGC